GCAUUUCUUUCCCUUGUAGCUCAUGAGUGCCAGCUGUGUGCCCAACACCAUGCUAUGCUGGUGGCCAAGGCCCUGCCUGCAUAGAGAAUAUCAUCUGGGGAGAAUUCAGACAGCAAGAACCAAGUGUGAGGAUUAUGACCAAACGAGCAGCACUGGGUCCAGGCCCACGGUGCUAGAAGCCAAUAUUCAGUUUUCAGCAGAGAAACAAUUGGGCUGUCUCCAGGUCAGAAGAAGGUGAAGGUGAUCCCUGACUUGCUUGCAGUGUGGGAUCAUCACAUGAAACGGCCCUUUCACCAAGAGUACGUGUAAGAGGGAAGAGCUCAUUUCACCUCCCCCUCUCAAAAUGGCAGUACAUCGAAAGAGCGGGAAUGGACGUGAGGCUACAAAUGACCACAAGGUCUGAACCAAACCAGUAGGAGCAGUGAGGACUGGCAGAGAGAUCUACUUCACCUUCUAUUUGGUACCCCUUUGAGUCCCCAGAGCCACCAAAAAUGACUCUCACUCCAAAGAGGAAGAAGAGCAAUCCAGAGAUGGUGUUUUUAAGAGCGUCAACUGUGGAAGACCUGGGCCCUACCUUAGACCCCCUGAAUCUAUGGGAGUGGAGCUGCAAAUCCUUUGAAUGCAUACUAAUUUUGAGAACUAUUGUUCUGGAUGUUUUAAGGAAGUGAGGAGGAAGUCAUCUCAUUUAGUGAGAUGGUCUCCAACAUCUCAAAAACCUACUCCCCAGAUGGCUGACAUCUCCAGGUGGAGGGUCAUAAAGCAGAAGCAAGAGUAUGUAGCUGGGAAACUCAUUAUUCCCCCACUCACCCAGGGAAGUUGUCUUCAACUUUCACCCACAGUGGUGAAUAGGUCCAUGGAGUUUGUCAUCUCCAACAGGUUGGUAGGAACUGUUAGAAGUGCUGUUGAAGUGCUGUUUGAAGUUGUAGAUUCUGAGUCCACUGUUUAACUCAAUAAGAAAGAGAUUUCUAACCAAUUAUCAGUGUCAGCCAUUGACUCUCCAUGGGGGCAUACCCUUUAUACUCUUGCUACCCAUCACUGCCUUGCUUCAGCCUCCAUUGUUUUCAGGAAGGAAGGAAAGGCAUGCCUGCAAAUGUCUAACUCAGCUCCAACUCUGAAGAGGAUGUAGGGUUGGAUAGGAAGUAAGCAGCUUUUAAGAUUAUACCAUUGUGAGUUUGCCUGCUUUGUGGGGUCUGUCUACUUUUGCAUCUCUCCCCUAUGGGACAGAUCAUUGAAAAGUGUAGUCCAAGAAGGGAAAAUAAAAGCAGAAUUUUUUUGAAGUAAAGCAAGAUAGAUGUACAAUCUACUAUGACCUGUCUCUCUUUUAUAAGUUGAG